CCUACGGGAGACAGCAGUGGGGAAUUUUGGACAAUGGGCGCAAGCCUGAUCCAGCAAUGCCGCGUGAGUGAAGAAGGCCUUCGGGUUGUAAAGCUCUUUUGUCAGGGAAGAAACGGUGGGGGCUAAUAUCCCUCGCUAAUGACGGUACCUGAAGAAUAAGCACCGGCUAACUACGUGCCAGCAGCCGCGGUAAUACGUAGGGUGCAAGCGUUAAUCGGAAUUACUGGGCGUAAAGCGUGCGCAGGCGGUUUUGUAAGUCUGUCGUGAAAGCCCCGGGCUCAACCUGGGAAUUGCGAUGGAGACUGCAAGGCUUGAAUCUGGCAGAGGGGGGUAGAAUUCCACGUGUAGCAGUGAAAUGCGUAGAGAUGUGGAGGAACACCGAUGGCGAAGGCAGCCCCCUGGGUCAAGAUUGACGCUCAUGCACGAAAGCGUGGGGAGCAAACAGGAUUAGAUACCCUGGUAGUCCACGCCCUAAACGAUGUCUACUAGUUGUUCGGUUUAAUUAACGUUAGGUAACGCAGACUACGACGUAGAGUAGACCGCCGUCGGGUAGGUACGGUCGCGAGAAGUUAAACGUAACGAAGAAGUAGUAGACGUGAGAGAGCGACGACGACGACGACGGAGGAGGAGG
rnacentral:rRNA from 1 species